GAUGAACGCUAGCGGCAGGCUUAACACAUGCAAGUCGAGGGGUAUUGGUUUUCGGACCAGGAGACCGGCGCACGGGUGCGUAACGCGUAUGCAAUCUACCUUUUGCAGAGGGAUAGCCCCAGAGAAAUUUGGAUUAAUACCUCAUAGUAUAGUACUUUGGCAUCAAGGAACUAUUAAAGUCACAACGGCAAAGAUGAGCAUGCGUCCCAUUAGCUAGUUGGUAAGGUAACGGCUUACCAAGGCUACGAUGGGUAGGGGUCCUGAGAGGGAGAUCCCCCACACUGGUACUGAGACACGGACCAGACUCCUACGGGAGGCAGCAGUGAGGAAUAUUGGACAAUGGGCGCAAGCCUGAUCCAGCCAUGCCGCGUGCAGGAAGAAGGUCCUAUGGAUUGUAAACUGCUUUUAUACAGGAAGAACACUCCCUCGUGAGGGAACUUGACGGUACUGUAUGAAUAAGGACCGGCUAACUCCGUGCCAGCAGCC
rnacentral:rRNA from 1 species